CAGGAAAUCGGGGAGUAACAUUAAAUAUGGCGGAAAGGAUUCAAAUUGCUAUCGACGUCUCCCAUGCCAUAGCAUAUCUGCAUACAUAUACAGGUUUGCUCUAUAAGAGUUUCAGAUGUAAAUAAGGGGGAGAGAUAAUCAGUCCCUUUUCAUUAACAUUGAGUAGAUUAUAUAUACAAUUCAGUAUAACAGAAAUCAGUUAUACUCUGUACUACAAAUGCUAACGAAAUGACUAAUUAGCCGAUAGAAGUAAUUAACUAUUUAUGUUAAGAAUAUAGCUAUUGUGAUUAAUAGAACUAAUUCUAACAUAUCACUGAUAUGCUUUGAAAACCAUUGAGCAGAUGACUAAUGCUGAUGAAUUAUGAUGCUCAAUAUCGCCACAAAGGCGGCUAGUUUUGAAAUUUCAUGCAAAAAGAGAAAAUUAUAUCGAUGAUUUAGUGAUAAAAACAAUAUUUUUAUCUCCACAGACGAGCCUAUCAUUCACAGAGACGUAAAAGCAUCAAACAUUCUCAUCACAGAGAAACUUAGAGCUAAAGUUGCAGAUUUUGGAUUUGCACGUCUUGUUUCUGAGGAUCCAGAAACAACACAUGUGCUCACACAAGUGAAAGGAAGUGCAGGGUAUUUAGAUCCGGAGUAUCUAAGAACAUACCAACUAACGGAAAAGAGUGAUGUGUAUUCAUUUGGGGUGGUUCUUGUGGAAUUGAUGUCCGGAAGACAUUCGAUUGAACCUACCAGACCAAGAGAAAAGAUAACCACAAAAUGGGUAAGAUUUAAGAAACCAAGAGACCCUAAUUAAAUUCAAUAAUGCACACUGACCGAAAAUGCUGUAUAUAUCAGGCAAUGCAAAAAUUAAAACAAGGUGAUUCGGUGAUGGUGAUGGAUCCAAACCUGCGAAGAAACCCAGCAUCAAUUGAAGCUUUGGAAAGAAUUUUGGAUCUGGCACGGCGUUGUCUAGAACCAUCGAGACGACACAGACCGAUGAUGAAGACGUGCGCAGAGAUAUUAUGGAGCAUCAGGAACGAUUUCAAGAAGAAUAACAGAGAGCAAGCAUCAGAACAAUCAUCCCCACAGCAUU
rnacentral:lncRNA from 1 species